rnacentral:lncRNA from 1 species
AAUUCCAGAAAACUUGGUGAAUAAUGAUCUUCAAGCACGAAAACUGAUAAAGAAAAAAAUGUAAAAACGUCGUACGAAAAUAAGUUUCAACACACGUGUUAAAAACCUAAUAGACUCGUCCACUGGAAAACGAGAUUAUCGGGUUAAUCUGUUGUCUCGCAUUCCCGUUUUUUAUCCAAAUGGACGAUAAUUUUUUUAUUAUCUAUGAAACAAGAAAUUCCAAAUGAUUUGUUAAUAUUCAGUACUUCAACUUGAUGCCUUUACCCUGUCCACAUUUGGACAAGUCGAAUUCUAUGAGAUGAUGCAUCUUACGGACUGGUGACAAAUAAGGGAAACGAACUUAAUGUGUAAUUGGUUUUAAACACAAGUUUCGUUCCGCAAUAUUAUUUGCGCAAACGACAUUUCAAGGUCAGUUAUAAUUGAUUUGUCUAUUUUUAGAAACGUAAACUGGAAGUUUUAUUUUUUCACAACAGAAAGUGUUAUCAAUUUUGUUAGUGAUUAAUGCAUUUCA